UACGGGGGGGGUAAGCGUUGUUCGGAAUUACUGGGCGUAAAGGGCUCGUAGGCGGCCAACUAAGUCGGACGUGAAAUCCCUCAGCUUAACUGGGGAACUGCGUCUGAUACUGGAUGGCUUGGAUUCGGGAGAGGAAUGCGGAAUUCCAGGUGUAGCGGUGAAAUGCGUAGAUAUCUGGAGGAACACCGGUGGCGAAGGCGGCAUCCUGGACCAAUUCUGACGCUGAGGAGCGAAAGCCAGGGGAGCAAACGGG
rnacentral:rRNA from 1 species